GUUUGCUAAAGCUGAACUCAAAGCAACAUCAACCAUGAGACUGUCCUUGUGUGUCCUCCUGGUCACUCUGGCCCUUUGCAGCUAUGAGGCAAAUGCAAGAGUCUGUCCAUCUUUUAUGUCUGAACUUAGAAGCUUCUUUUUGGAUUCUGUACAACUCUACAAUGUCUAUCUUCUGAAAUUUCUUCCACCUAGAGAAGCUGCUGAGGCCAUGGUAAAAGUGAAGGAAUGUACCAACCUUAUGCCCAGACAGGACAGACAGAAUAUUUUCAAUGUUGUGAAAGCUUUACAGUCCAAAUGUAACAACUAGACAUUAAAAAUCUCAUACAUGAGUGCCUCUGUCAUUCAAGGAUGACCUGAUCACCCCCGGAAAAUGUGAAGGUUUCAACGUCUUGCUUCAGUAAAGUACUUGCCC